rnacentral:snRNA from 3 species
GUGCUACUCACUUUUGGCAGUACAUAUACUAAAAUUGGAGGAAUACAAAGAAGACUACCAUGGCCUCUGUGCAAGGAUAACACACAAAUUUGUCAAGCAUUCCAUAUUUUU